rnacentral:rRNA from 1 species
UACGUAGGGCGCAAGCGUUGUCCGGAAUUAUUGGGCGUAAAGAGCUCGUAGGCGGUUUGUCGCGUCUGUCGUGAAAGCCCACGGCUUAACCGUGGGUCUGCGGUGGAUACGGGCAGACUAGAGGCAGGUAGGGGAGAAUGGAAUUCCCGGUGUAGCGGUGAAAAUGCGCAGAUAUCGGGAGGAACACCGGUGGCGAAGGCGGUUCUCUGGGCCUGUACUGACGCUGAGGAGCGAAAGCGUGGGGAGCGAACAGG